CUUGCAUAAAUUAAUUUCCAUGUGCAGUAGAAGAAACUAUUUUGUUUCCAAUGGUGUCAUAACACUUCGUGGCUGUUUUUCUUCUCAUGUUUUAUUUGCACAACCUUUAUGUGCACAUAGGUUAUUGUCCAUGUCCACUUUUGCUGCAGGUUGCGGAAAGAAGAUUGGCGUUUGAUUUCUUGAACAUUGCAAAUCAGGACGAAUAAUAAAUAAGUCAUGGCUUAUUUACUAUGUCGACAUUCUGAGGUAGCCAAGAGAAACUCAAAACACUUUGCGAUUCUGGGACCACAGACCUAACCUGCUCUAAGCACAUGCAUUUGUAUUCGGAUUCCUACUGUGUAUUAACUAACCAAUUCUUGUGAUGUCUGUAAUGACAUUAAGAGACGGUGGUUUUCAGGAGUUGGAUAUUGCAAAUUAACAAUCCUGGAUUCCACAGUACUGUGGAGCAUUAAUAUUACUACCUUUACAUUAGGGUAACUUAGUUAAAAUCAGGAAAGAACGGAACUUGAAUGUUAUGACUGAUGAGAGGUGUUAUACAUGAUGAUGGAGCACUUGUCAAAGUAAAACCUACUACAGAAGAUAAAGGUGAAGCAUUUAAUCUACACAAUGAGAAGAUAUUUCAUAUUUACCUUUUUAUAUGCAUUGACAUACUGGGUAAUGAAGUAUGGAGAAUUAAAACAUACACUGUAUUCACAUCCAGGAGAGUUAAUGUAGAAUUUGAAAUGGGAAAGUAGCACAAUGGAACAAGUUUCUUCCAAAGUUAUUUAGACCCCCCCCAUAUCAUUCCAUCAUUACUACAUAUUCACUUGAUGUACCAUUUGGAGCUUGGAUGAGCCUGUUAACAGCUGCAGUGACAUAGCCUCUCCCACCUUUCCAACAAGAACUAGGGCAGAAAGACCAGAGAUUGGCAGACCAAGGCAAAGAUGGAGCUGAAGUUCAGAACAGAUUAUGAACCUAAUCCCUGAAGAGAGAUUAUGAAGACCAGAUGAAGUUCAAAUGCUCUUACACUGUACAAGCAAAUGUCUGUCACCCUGAGUAAUGUUACCACAGCACACUGUUCUUCCUCUGCCAAGAUUCACUGCUGUCCUUCAAGGAUUACAUUCAUCCUUAAUAUAAACCAAGAGAACGAUGUGAAAAGAAGAGUGGCUGUAGAACAAGAACACCAUUCUCUGCAAGAAAAACUUAUGAAUG